ensembl:lncRNA
GAUCCAUAUGAUCGAUGGAUCGUUAGAUCGCUUGAUGUGUGUUCAGUACCCUCUGACCUGUCUUCCUUCAGGUGGACGUUGGCCUAUCCAAGAAGAUCCAGGUUGGCAGUGAACCUGGACGUUCUGUGGGACUCCGGAGUACGUGGCUCCAGAGAUCAUUCUGAACAGGGGACACAACUUUAGUGUGGACAUCUGGUCCUUAGACAUCCUGGUCUAUGAGCUGCUCACAGGCAGCUCAGUGCUGGGAGAUGUGUUUGGUUAGAGGACAGGGGAUAAGGUUAGGGGUUAGGGUCAGUGUUGGGAGAUGUGUUUUGGUUAGAGGACAGGGGAUAAGGUUAGGGGUUAGGGUCAGUGCUGGGAGAUGUGUUUGGGUUAGGGGUUAAGGUUAGAGGUUAGGGUCAGUGCUGGGAGAUGUGUUUUGGUUAGGGGUUAAGGUUAGGGGUUAGGGUCAGUGCUGGAAGAUGUGUUUGGGUUAGAGGACAGGGGUUAAGGUUAGGGGUUAGGGUCAGUGCUGGGAGAUGUGUUUGGGUUAGGGGUUAAGGUUAGGGGUUAGGGUCAGUGUUGGGAGAUGUGUUUUGGUUAGAGGACAGGGGUUAAGGUUAGGGGUUAGGGUCAGUGCUGGGAGAUGUGUUUGGGUUAGGGGUUAAGGUUAGGGGUUAGGGUCAGUGUUGGGAGAUGUGUUUUGGUUAGAGGACAGGGGUUAAGGUUAGGGGUUAGGGUCAGUGCUGGGAGAUGUGUUUGGGUUAGGGGACAGGGGAUAAGGUUAGGGGUUAGGGUCAGUGCUGGGAGAUGUGUUUGGGUUAGGGGUUAGGGUCAGUGCUGGGAGAUGUGGGAUGUGUUCUCUGCGUUUACCUUAAAAGGAUAGUGCG